GCCCACCCCCAGCCAGGAUGACGGGGGAGGGGGAUGGUGGGGCGAUGUCCGCUCGCCGUGCUCUCGGAGGGGACGAAGGGAGGAUUCUCAGUCACCUGAGAGCAACGCGGGGAGGUGGUCAAACAGAGUGAUCCACCUCUAUCCCUUCCUAACAGUCUUACCAAUGUUCUAAUGUUCUUUCCAGUGGUCUGGAGCGCUGCCCCUGCUCUCUGGUUCCCUCCAAAAGCUUGUGCCUGCUGUGGAAUCAUAGAAUCACUAAGGCUGGAAAAGAUCUCCAAGCUCAUCUAGUCCAAGAGUCAGCCCAUCCCCACCAUUCUCAAUGACCGCAUCCCUCAGCGCCACAUCUACACCCCUAGGGACAGUGACCCUUCACCUCCCUGUUCCAAAGCAUCACUGCUCUUUCAGAUAAUAAACUUUUCCUAAUGC